GAUGAAGAACGUAGCGAAAUGCGAUAAGUAAUGUGAAUUGCAGAAUUCAGUGAAUCAUCGAGUCUUUGAACGCACAUUGCGCCCCCUGGUAUUCCGGGGGGCAUGCCUGUCCGAGCGUCAUUGCUGCCCUCAAGCACGGCUUGUGUGUUGGGCCCCGCCCCCCGGCUCCCGGGGGGCGGGCCCGAAAGGCAGCGGCGGCACCGCGUCCGGUCCUCGAGCGUAUGGGGCUUCGUCACCCGCUCCGUAGGCCCGGCCGGCGCCCGCAGGCGACCCCCCUCAAUCUUUUCAGGUUGACCUCGGAUCAGGUAGGGAUACCCGCUGAACUUAAGCAUAUCAAUAAGCGGAGGA
rnacentral:misc_RNA from 1 species